rnacentral:lncRNA from 1 species
AUGAGUAGGAAGUCAAGCAAAGGAGGUAGGAGACCUGUAUGGAUGAGCAAGGAGCUCCUGGCAAAACUCAAGCAGAAGAAGGAAGUAUACAGAAAGUGGAAAGGGGGACAGGCCACUUGGGAGGAGUAUGGAAACGUUGUCCGAGUAUGCAGGGAUGUGACGAGGAAGGCUAAGGCUGGUUUGGAAUUAAAUCUGGCAAGAGAUGUCAAGGACAACAACAAGGGCUUCUUCAAAGACAUCAGUAGCAAGAGGCAGACUAGGGAAAAUGUGGGCCCUUUGCUGAAUGGGGUGGGUGCCCUGUUGAUGAAGGAUGCAGAGAAGGCGGAGUUACUGAAUGCCGCCUUUGCUUCAGUCUUUACUGGUCAGGCCAGCCCUCAGGAACCCCACACCCUGGAGGCAAGAGAGAAAGUCUGGAGAAAGGAAGACUUUCCCUUGGUUGAGGAGGAUCGGGUUAGAGAUCAUUUAAGCAAACUUGACACCCACAAGUCCAUGGGCCCCAAUGGGAUGCACCCACGAGUGCUGAGGGAUCUGGCAGAUGUUAUUGCUGGGCCACUCUCCAUCAUCUUGGAAAGGUCAUGGAGAACAGGAGAGGUGCCUGAGCACCGGAAGAAAGCCAAUGUCACCCCAGUCUUCCAAAAGGGCAAGAAGGAGGACCUGGGACACUACAGGUCAGUGAGCCUCACCUCCAUCCCUGGAAAGGUGAUGGAGCAGCUCAUCCUGGAGGCCAUCUCCAAGCAUGUGGAGGACAAGAAGGUGAUCAGGAGUAGUCAGCAUGGCUUCACCAAAGGGAAAUCAUGCUUAACCAAUCUGAUAGCCUUCUCUGAUGGAAUGACUGGYUGGGUAGAUGAGGGGAGAGCAGUGGAUGUUGUCUACCUUGACUUCAGCAAGGCUUUUGACACUGUCUCCCAUAACAUCCUCAUAGGUAAGCUCAGGAAGUGUGGGUUAAAUGAGUGGACAGUGAGGUGGCUUGAGAACUGGCUGAAUGGCAGAGCUCAGAGGGUUGUGCUCCACUGA